rnacentral:rRNA from 1 species
UACAGAGGGUGCGAGCGUUAAUCGGAAUUAUUGGGCGUAAAGAGCUCGUAGGCGGUCUGUUGCGUCUGCCGUGAAAACCCGAGGCUUAACCUCGGGCCUGCGGUGGAUACGGGCAGACUAGAGGUAGGUAGGGGAGAACGGAAUUCCCGGUGUAGCGGUGAAAUGCGCAGAUAUCGGGAGGAACACCGGUGGCGAAGGCGGUUCUCUGGGCCUUACCUGACGCUGAGGAGCGAAAGCGUGGGGAGCGAACAGG